AUUUAUGUAGUUUAAANAAAACAUUACACUUUCACUGUAAAAAUAUUAUUCAUAAUCAUAAAUU
rnacentral:tRNA from 1 species